UUCUAAAUUUCAUUUUUCAUUCCCCUUUGACUUUUCAACAUCCUUUCUAACUCACCUUUCUCCCACUCAACUCACGGCAAACACAUACACACACACCUCCUUUCCCUCUUUCACUUUUUUUUUCUCAACUAAAACCCAAAAACCACCUUUCUUCUACUCUUCUCUCACUCCCCACGUUAACCGAGACUCCUCCACCCUUCAUGCUUUUUGUUUUGUUUGUUUGUUUCUUCUUCCUUCAACCCUUACAUCCCUUCCUCUUCUCUUUUGUUUUCCUUCUCAACUCCAACAUAAGACUCUUCUCUUUUCUCCUGCCUUUGCUAUGUGAUUUGUAGUGUGCCCAUCUCCUCCUUCCACUUCCAUAAUUCUUCCUUCAUGUUCUUCUUCCUCCAAUGGCACCAAGCUUCUUCUUUCUUCACUACAUUCAUCAACCCCAUAUACCCCAUCUCACAAAAACAUCACUUUCACUCCUCUCAUACUCAUAACUCACUCUUUUCUCUUCCAACAAUGGAAGAGUACUCUCAAUACCCUCCUACCCCCAUUCUUGGUCAAAGAGUGUAGAUAAGUGCCCCAUAAUAUAUAUAAUUCAUGCAAAGUGACAAUAAACAAGACACCAUAAAACAUGGUUUUAAGUGUACUCAUAAAAAUUUUUCAUACACAUACAUCACCCAAAACUGUCCAAAACAUUUAUACCCAUCUUAACAACAACACUUUUGAAAAGCCAACAUGUAAUGUUCAAGGUAUACCCAUAACAACAAAAAAACGAAAAUCAAUAUAUAAG
rnacentral:lncRNA from 1 species